rnacentral:rRNA from 1 species
CGUCUAUAUACGUAUAGCAUAUCAAUAAGCGGAGGAAAAGAAACUAACUAGGAUUCCCUUAGUAACGGCGAGUGAAGCGGGAAGAGCUCAAAUUUGAAAUCUUCAAGGUUCUACCUUGACGAAUUGUAGUUUAAAGAAGUGUUUUCUGUUGGAGUUUUGGUAAAAGUUCUUUGGAAUAGGACAUCAUAGAGGGUGAGAAUCCCGUAUUUGACCAUUAUUUCCAACUUUGUGAUACACUUUCAAAGAGUCGGAUUGUUUGGGAAUGCAGUCCAAAAUGGGUGGUAAAUUUCAUCUAAAGCUAAAUACUGGCGAGAGACCGAUAGCGAACAAGUACCGUGAGGGAAAGAUGAAAAGAACUUUGAAAAGAGAGUUAAACAGUACGUGAAAUUGUCAAAAGGGAAGCGUUUGACACCAGUGUUGUUGUCUCGAAAAUCAAUUAAAAAUGGCAGGAUUUUGUGUUGUAUUGACUUUAUCAGCUUUCUGCACUUUUUUCUUGUCUUUUUUAAUGCACUUUUCGUUUAACAAGUCAACAUCAGUUUCUUUGUUGUAAAAGGGUCAUUGGAAGGUGGCUUUCUUUUCGGAGAAAGUGUUUAUAGCCUUUGGCCUCUGCAAUCGGAGAGAUUGAGGUCUGCAGCGUAGAUCCUUCGGGGUUAGAUACAUUUGUGCUAAGUUAUAGCCUUUCAUAGACAACUUGUUGACUAUGAUCAGUCAUGUAGCUUACUCGCUUAUGUCAUUUUACCUACGCUUAGGAUGUUGAUCUGUAGUGCGUGCGC